UACGUAGGGGGCGAGCGUUGUCCGGAAUUACUGGGCGUAAAGGGCGCGCAGGCGGCGGGCCUGGUCGGACGUGAAAGCCCCCGGCUCAACCGGGGCGGGUCGUCCGCGACGGGUCGGCUGGAGGGGGUCAGAGGGGGGUGGAAUGCCGGGUGGAGCGGUGAAAUGCGUAGAGACCCGGCGGAACACCAGCGGCGAAGGCGGCCCCCUGGGGCUCACCUGACGCUGAGGCGCGAAGGCCAGGGGAGCGAACGGG
rnacentral:rRNA from 1 species